UCCUAAAUUAAUACAGGAUGAUAUACAACAACUAACCAUUCCUAGUAAGGAAAGGGAUCAGUGUCAGCCCUCAAAUUAUAAUCAUAAUUAUAAUUAUACAUUUACUAUAUACUAUACUAAAGUUACGUUGGUGGUCUUUGGAUGGAAAUUGGGGGUUUCGGAUCCAUUGGUGACAUUGGGUUUUGGGGGUUUGGAUUGUGGAAAUUGGGAAUAAGGGUUUGGUUUUUUGCUUCAUUGUUCAUGAUUUGGGUGAUACGGGGUGUUUGUUAUUCGAUGGUGAUUCUGCCGUUUUACAAUUCUAGAAGUGUGUGAAGAAGGGCAAGGCGAUAGAGGUCGUUGGGAUCAAGAGAAGGAGAGGUUGGUGUGGGUUGCUGUUUCUGUGGAUUUUGAAAGGUUUAACAUCGACGGAAGAGAAAUAAUUGUGACGGAGGAAGAAGCAGCUCUAAGCGACUCAGCGUAGGAGAAGAAGACUGGAAGUGGGCUUUGAACUGUCUUCGUUCAUCUAAUAUUCAAGUCCGCGCGAUGGAUGGGUAUAAAUGAAGCAUGCAGUUUAGGUCCAGAUUUAGUAUCUUGGCGAUAGUACUUACAAAAGUAGUCCAGGCCUCCUCUGCGUUUUCUUCAUAUUAGAUAAAGUUUAGAUGUCCUGAAUUGUCAAUUUCAAUUAAGUUCGCCUUUUGAGCAUGAAAACAUCCUAUUUGUUUCUGGGGAAUUCAUAUGUUUCCAAGGACUGAUUGGAAUGAUAUUGUCGUUGAGAUUAUUGAUCAGCUGGGAGUAUUUUAAAUCAAACCUUGCAUCAUUACUGCCUGCACAGAGUGCAACAAAUUAAUAUUAGUCCAAGGAACUGUAAUAGAAUGUGGGGAUGUCGGUGGAAGUUAGAAUUUAAGGAAAAAUCACAUAUUAGCUGGCUUCAAGGAUUGUAUUGUGAGUCUGUGACUGUAAAGUGCCAUUUAGGAGUUAGGACUUGGGACCAGCAAGGGGUUAGUCGGAAUGAUUAGGUUCAUGGUUUUAUUGUUCCAUGUUGUCUAGGUUUGAAAGUGGCUCUAUAUAAAGACACUAUCAUUGGGUAUUUGAAAACAGAGAAAUAAGUCAUUUAGGUGAGGUUUGAAAGUGGCCUUACAUUAUGUCUGAGAGUCAUACCAGGGCUAUAAGAGAGGUUCAUACUUUUCAGUUAUUUGUAAAUGAUGCACAUUGUCUAUGGGAGUCUGAAUGUCUGGAAAAAGAACUCCACUUAUUCUAAUUUUUGGUUCUGCCAUAUAUUGCACAAAUAUUCUUUUGGGUCAUCAAAUCCAAGUCCUGCCAAGGCUGCCAUACAUGGGCAUCCAGUGAUAAAAGUUGAUUCCCUAAUUUCUCUUUACUAAAUGAUCAAGUUAAGCGUUUUUGGUAUAGAAUAUGAUCUGUGGUGUGUAUAAGGAACUUGCUAGCUGAUGGACUUUUGAGUUUAUAUACCUGAUAUUUAAUACUUGCUGCCAUAUGUGAUAUGUCUAGAAUAGAUGAUGUAGGAAUCACUCACCAAGGGUUUGAGAAAAAGGUGGUUUCCCAGGACCUGCAGCUUUGGCUUUCUAAUGUGAUGCUAAUUUUAUGUUCUUUGGGGACUUUGAAGAAACGAACAGACCCAUAUGAAGGUUUACAGAAAGCAUUGGUUACAUCCUGAAGCACUGCCCUCCUCUUAUGCUGGACGCAUGCAUUUCCAGCCUCAUUCUUGUUGUUCUCGUCCACAGAAGCUCUCUUUGGAUUUGCUCGCAAAGCUGGCUUCUGACUCUGCUUUGUGGGUUGUGUGCCUGACUGGAUGUAUCUAAUGAAGCAGCUCAAGCACAUGUUAUACAGCCAGGAAACUCUUUAACACUUGCAGUGGCCAAUGUUUGCUUGACCAAUGAUGCCGUGGUUUGAAUGCUUGCUUUCAUAUCAUAGGCACUCCUAUAUAGCAAUCCACUCCUAUAUACCUUAUGAACUAAUAUCAGUUCCAGUAUUCUGCAGGUUGAGAGAUUAGAAGUUGGAGCAUUAGUCUCUAUACGAGGAAUUGGUCGUAUAAAGAUCAUCAAAUUUGUGCAAGUGAGUAACAAGGGAACUGGCCUGGGAUAUAUGAUAUUCUGUCAUAAAGUUACUCAUACGUAUAAUUAUUCUGUAUAUACACAGACAAAGAACUUCCCAUUUUGGUGGUUCCACAUAUAUGAGCGAGUAUUUCAAUUUUCA